rnacentral:rRNA from 1 species
AGCGAACGCUGGCGGCAGGCUUAACACAUGCAAGUCGAGCGGGCAUCCUUGUGGUGUCAGCGGCAGACGGGUGAGUAACGCGUGGGAACGUGCCCUUCGGUUCGGAAUAACUCAGGGAAACUUGAGCUAAUACCGGAUACGUGCGAGAGCAGAAAGGUUUAUCUGCCGAAGGAUCGGCCCGCGUCUGAUUAGCUAGUUGGUGAGGUUAUGGCUCACCAAGGCGACGAUCAGUAGCUGGUCUGAGAGGAUGAUCAGCCACACUGGGACUGAGACACGGCCCAGACUCCUACGGGAGGCAGCAGGGGGGAAUAUGGGACAAUGGGGCAACCCUGAUCCAGCCAUGCCGCGUGAGUGAUGACGGCCUUAGGGUUGUAAAGCUCUUUUCUCCGGGACGAUAAUGACGGUACCGGAGGAAUAAGCCCCGGCUAACUUCGUG